rnacentral:lncRNA from 1 species
UAUAGGAUUAGGGAAUGAUAAUUGAUGAAAUUGGAAUGUCAUUCUUGCAAAGAUUCUGCAGAUUGAUUAAGGGUGUGUUUGGUUGCAUGCACCACAUGAUGCAUACAUGGAUGAUCCUGGAUGGGAUGGUUCAACCAAUUUACUUGUACCAUAUGGUUCACUCUAAUUAGUAGAAUAAUGUAUUAAGUGGGAUGGUCUCAUCCUGGAUGAGUUGGUCCAAUUCACCCAACAAAACAAAAUGAUCAUUAUUAUUUUGAAUCAUUUCAUACAUGACUCAAAUGAUACAACCAACCAAACACACCCUAAGUUUGACAGAGCUCAGGGAGGUCAUCACCUGUUUGUGCACACAGCCAGAGGUGUAGAAGAAAUGCUUAACCAAAAUACAAUGCAACGUGUAAGAACAUGAAAACGUUGGUAAUGCCACAACCAUUUGCACAACCUGUAAGCAUCCAAUCUAAGUAACCGAUAUCAAUUGUAAACUGUCUAAUGGUGAGGUGGUCCUUUGCUUUUCUGUUGCAUGUCCAUGUAGUAUUCUGUGAUCUUCUGAAGAAACUAUGCUCAAAUUGUUGCUUUGCUUGCCAAGCUUUGUGAUCUUAUGGAGAUGCAAAUGAUUUGCCUUUGUCAAUUUGAUUGAACGAUAUUGGGACUAGGACCUCGGGAUUUAGUAUAAGUAGUUUAAGAUACUGAAUCUUUUGUUGAUUACUUAGAAUGACUUUCAAUAUUAUACUGCAUGCAGCUUCAU